rnacentral:lncRNA from 1 species
UGGGGACUGCAGUUGUCUGUUGUUGUAGUAAGACUUGUGGGAUGCAUAUAUUAAUCAUCUAUCAUUGGCUCAAAGACUGGGCGCUAAAUGAAAGACCAGUCACACAAACUGGCUAAUUAUUCCUUUCAGUCCUAUUGGCUUUGUCUACAUAACAGAGACAGACAAGUUCAUGUCAUGGUCAUAGGCCCUGUGUUUGGUAGUAGGGGUGGGAAACUAACAUCUCUCUCUAGUCCUUCCUCCUUCAUUUAUGUAACGACCAAAUAAAAGGUGAGUACUUGUGAUUUUAAUGUACUUUUGUCAUCAAUAUAAUCCUUAGACUAUUCCUGGGGCGGCAGGUAGCCUAGUGGUCAGACGCAGGUAGCCUAGUGGUCAGAGGCAGGUAGCCUAGUGGUCAGAGGCAGGUAGCCUAGUGGUCAGAGGCAGGUAGCCUAGUGGUUAGAGGCAGGUAGCCUAGUGGUUAGAGGCAGGUAGCCUAGUGGUUAGAGGCAGGUAGCCUAGUGGUUAGAGGCAGGUAGCCUAGUGGUUAGAGGCAGGUAGCCUAGUGGUUAGAGCAUUGGGCCAGUAAUUGAAAGGUUGCUAGAUCAAAUCCCUGAGCUGACAAGGUAAAAAUCUGUUGUUCUGCCCCUGAACAAGGCAGUUAACCCACUGUUCCUAGGCCGUCAUUGUAAAUAAGAAUUUGUUCUUAACUGACUUGCCUGGUUUAAAAAAAAAUUAAAAAAAUAUUCCAUGAGAAAAGAUGUCUGAUGCUGUUAAAAUACAUUAUUACACAGUCAGCUGUUCUUUAAACUGCAUUUUUAAAGUAAACAAAUGUAACAAUUUAUUCGUAUCAUUUAAACUGUGGCUGAAACUGAUGACAGUCUGGCCCUGACUGAAGGAACACUGACAACCAGACAGGCUCCUUGCAACAGUGUGACAAUACGACGCAUGGCCACCACCCUCUCAC